GAUUAUCCGGAAUUUGAUACAAAGAGCGAGAAAUAAGUUUUAUGCAAUGCUAGCAACCAAACAGUACCCAUAACAGGAGUGAAAAACCCAAAAGAAGAAACAGUAGAGGGAGAGAGCAGAGCACAGCAGAGAGAUCGUAGAGAGAGAGAGAGAGUGGGGAUCAGCAAGAGAGAACCUUGAACACAACUUUCGCUGGACUCGCCGAAACUUUUUUCUCGUGGGCCUCUUCGGCAUCGCCAUUCCCGUCUUGGUCUACAAGGGCAUCGUCAGCGAAUUCCAUAAACAUGACGAGGAUGCAGGCAGACCAUACAAGAAGUUUAUUUGACUUGGCAGAGAAUGCUUUGCAUUUUAUGGGGUAGUAAAAUAAGGGUUUCAAUGGGAUCCUACAAUAUCAUAUCAGGAUAUGGAAAAUUUAUUCGCUUUUCUCUUUGUUACUCUGUGGCUUCUGAUGUUAGGGCAGUUUGCUACUUUGAAUUACAUUUUGCAUUUUGUCAUUAAGUAAUACAACUUCAAAGAGCAUGUAGUAAUA